GUGCUCACUUUGGCAGCAUAUAUACUAAGAUUAAAGCAAGACAGAGAAGAUUAGCAUGGCCCCUGCUCAAGGAUGACACACAAAUUCAUGAAGCGUUUCAUAUUUUU
ensembl:snRNA U6 U6 spliceosomal RNA